UGGGGAAUAUUGGACAAUGGGCGCAAGCCUGAUCCAGCCAUGCCGCGUGAGUGAUGAAGGCCUUAGGGUUGUAAAGCUCUUUCGCCGACGAAGAUAAUGACGGUAGUCGGAGAAGAAGCCCCGGCUAACUUCGUGCCAGCAGCCGCGGUAAUACGAAGGGGGCUAGCGUUGUUCGGAAUCACUGGGCGUAAAGCGCACGUAGGCGGAUUGUUAAGUCAGGGGUGAAAGCCUGGAGCUCAACUCCAGAACUGCCCUUGAUACUGGCAAUCUCGAGUCCGGAAGAGGUAAGUGGAACUGCGAGUGUAGAGGUGAAAUUCGUAGAUAUUCGCAAGAACACCAGUGGCGAAGGCGGCUUACUGGUCCGGUACUGACGCUGAGGUGCGAAAGCGUGGGGAGCAAAACAGGAUUAGAUACCCUGGUAGUCCACGCCGUAAAACGAUGGAGGCUAGCCGUUGGCGAGCAUGCUCGUCAGUGGCGCAGCUAACGCAUUAAGCCUCCCGCCUGGGGGAGUACGGUCGCAAGAUUAAAAACUUAAAGGAAUUGACGGGGUCAUAGCUGUUUCCU
rnacentral:rRNA from 1 species